GCCUACGUGGUGGAAUUGGGAAUACACAUCCGGUUUAAACCCGGAUACCACAAGGAUUGAGGGUUCGACUCCCUCCGCAGGUACCA
rnacentral:tRNA from 1 species